rnacentral:rRNA from 1 species
AGAGUGUAGAUCCUGGCUCAGCCCUGAACGCUGGCGGCGUGGCUAAAGACAUGCAAGUCGAACGGGUGUAGCAAUACACCAGUGGCGGACGGGUGAGUAAUGUAUAGCUAACGUGCCCCUUGGACGAGGAUAGCCAUCCGAAAGGGUGGGUAAUACUCGGUGACAUAACCUGAUCGCAUGGUCGGGUUCUCAUAGACCGUAAGGUGCCGAGGGAGCGGGUUAUAUUGUAUCAGCUAGUUGGUAGGGUAACGGCCUACCAAAGGCGACGACGCAUAGCCGGGCUAAGAGGUUUACCGGCCACAUUGGGACUGAGACACUGCCCAGACUCCUAACGGGGGGCUGCAGUAACGAAAUCUUCCACAAUGCACGAAAGUGUGAUGGAGCGACGCCGCGUGUGGGAUGAAAGUUCCUUCGGAAUGUANCCCCUGUCAGGGGAAAGAAAGUUCUGAUCUACCCCCAGAGGAAGGCACGGCUAACCUCUGUGCCAGCAGCCCGCGGUAAAGACGAAGGUGCCCAGGCGUUAGGGCCGGGAAUCCCUGGGGCCUUAAAGCCGUGUGUUGGGCGGAAUUGGCCCAAGUCCCNUGUUGGAAAUCCCCCGGGCUUCANCCGGUGGNAACUGCUUCGGUUUUUCUG